CACGUAGGGCGCGAGCGUUGUCCGGAAUUAUUGGGCGUAAAGAGCUCGUAGGCGGCCUGUUGCGUCCGCUGUGAAAGCCCGGGGCUUAACCCCGGGUCGGCAGUGGAUACGGGCAGGCUCGAGCUCGGUAGGGGAGACUGGAAUUCCUGGUGUAGCGGUGAAAUGCGCAGAUAUCAGGAGGAACACCGGUGGCGAAGGCGGGUCUCUGGGCCGAUACUGACGCUGAGGAGCGAAAGCGUGGGGAGCGAACAGG
rnacentral:rRNA from 1 species